GUGUCAGCAGCCGCGGUAAGACAGAGGGUGCAAACGUUGCUCGGAAUCACUGGGCGUAAAGGGCGUGUAGGCGGGAGAGAAAGUCGGGCGUGAAAUCCCUGGGCUCAACCCAGGAACUGCACUCGAAACUUCUUUUCUUGAGUGCCGGAGAGGAAAGCGGAAUACCUGGUGUAGAGGUGAAAUUCGUAGAUAUCAGGUGGAACACCAGUGGCGAAGGCGGCUUUCUGGACGGUAACUGACGCUGAGACGCGAAAGCGUGGGGAGCAAACAGGAUUAGAUACCCUUGUAGUCC
rnacentral:rRNA from 1 species